AUGACCUUCCAACGCGCAUUAAUUUCGCAUGGAACAUCAGCACAAUUUGACACCAAGAUGUUGACACCAGACCAAAGCAAGGCAAUAAAACCAUUAGCUUCGUCUCAGGCACCAUCAGAGAAUAAUCGAGAAAAGUUCAGCUUGCACCAAUGCUGGCCGCCCGUUCUAUUUCUUUACACUUCUGAUGACGAGACGAAACGUUCGCGGCUGUUCAGUAAAACUAAUUCGUACGAUUUGCAUCCCAAGAACAAUGUCAUUACAUUAUUACAGAAAGUGGCGAAAGAAAAUACACAUGGUAAAAAAUAUGCAUUUCAGCACAAGAAAAGUUUAUGUGCAUCUUCUCUAAAUAAACAUCCUCUCCUCGGCUAG
rnacentral:rRNA from 1 species